AUAGGAAGAAAUAAGGCAUCUUUUUUCUUUUAAAAGACCUAGUGAUAGGUAUACUUUAGGAGGGGCUUGCGCCAUAUUAGUUAGUUGGUAGGGUAAUGGCCUACCAAGACGAUGAUGUGUAGCUGGACUGAGAGGUUGAACAGCCACAUUGGGACUGAGACACGGCCCAAACUCCUACGGGAGGCAGCAGUAGGGAAUUUUCGGCAAUGGAGGAAACUCUGACCGAGCAACGCCGCGUGAACGACGAAGUACUUUGGUAUGUAAAGUUCUUUUAUCAAGGAAGAAAAGCAAGUGGUGAACCAUUUGUUUGCCGGUACUUGAUGAAUAAGCCCCGGCUAAUUAUGUGCCAGCAGCCGCGGUAAGACAUAAGGGGCAAGUGUUAUCCGGAAUUAUUGGGCGUAAAGGGUGCGUAGGCGGUCUAGUAAGUCAGUGGUGUAAUGGCAACGCUCAACGUUGUCCGGCUAUUGAAACUGCUAAACUUGAGUUAGAUAGAGGCGAGUGGAAUUCCAUGUGUAGCGGUAAAAUGCGUAAAUAUAUGGAGGAACACCAGAGGCGUAGGCGGCUCGCUGGGUCUUAACUGACGCUGAGGCACGAAAGCGUGGGGAGCAAACAGGAUUAGAUACCCUGGUAGUCCACGCCGUAAACGAUGAGUACUAAGUGUCGGGUUAAACCGGUACUGAAGUUAACACAUUAAGUACUCCGCCUGAGUAGUACGUACGCAAGUAUGAAACUUAAAGGAAUUGACGGGACUCCGCACAAGCGGUGGAUCAUGUUGUUUAAUUCGAAGAUACCCGAAAAACCUUACCAGGUCUUGACAUGUUUUUGCGAAACGGUAGUAAUAUCGUGGAGGUUAUCAGAAACACAGGUGGUGCAUGGUUGUCGUCAGCUCGUGUCGUGAGAUGUUAGGUUAAGUCCUAAAACGAGCGAAACCCUUAUCGUUAGUUGCCAGCACGUUAUGGUGGGGACUUUAACGAGACUGCCAGUGAUAAAUUGGAGGAAGGUGAGGAUCACGUCAAAUCAGCAUGCCCCUUAUGACCUGGGCUACAAACGUGAUACAAUGGCUGUUACAAAGGGUAGCUGAAACGCAAGUUCUUGGCCAAUCCCCAAAAACAGUCUCAGUCCGGAUUGAAGUCUGCAACUCGACUUCAUGAAGUUGGAAUCGCUAGUAAUCGCGAAUCAGCAUGUCGCGGUGAAUACGUUCU
rnacentral:rRNA from 2 species